CCUGGCUCAGGAUGAACGCUAGCGGCAGGCUUAACACAUGCAAGUCGAGGGGCAUCGGGAGUAGCAAUACUGCCGGCGACCGGCGCAAGGGUGCGUAACGCGUGAGCAACAUGCCCGUAUCAGGGGGGAUAAUCCAUGGAAACGUGGUCUAAUACCCCAUAGUAAUUAUGUAAGGCAUCUUAUAUAAUUUAAAGCUUUGGUGGAUACGGAUUGGCUCGCGUGACAUUAGCUGGAUGGUAAGGUAACGGCUUACCAUGGCUACGAUGUCUAGGGGUUCUGAGAGGAAGGUCCCCCCACACUGGAACUGAGACACGGUCCAGACUCCUACGGGAGGCAGCAGUGAGGAAUAUUGGACAAUGGAUGGAAAUCUGAUCCAGCCAUGCCGCGUGCAGGAAAGACGGCCCUAUGGGUUGUAAACUGCUUUUGUAUGGGAGCAAUAAGGGCUACGUGUAGUCCGAUGAGAGUACCAUACGAAUAAGCACCGGCUAACUCCGUGCCAGCCGCUGC
rnacentral:rRNA from 1 species